ACCACCACAAAUGGUAUGGUCCUUAGCAUCAGGUCCUUUUUGUCCCCCCCCCCCACUGGUCUUCUAAGCAGGUUUGAAGCAGCUUCAUCUCAUUCCUGAUUCAUCCUGUUCCCCUCAGUGGCUUGCUCCUGCAUUAGCAAUGUAAAACUGGCCCCAAUGGGUUUCUAACUGGCCAGAAGUUGCUUCUGAUUAGUUCAAAUCUUUUGUGACAAGAAAAAAUCAGCUCUGACCAGUUGAAAUCGAUUUUGACCAGUUUAAAGCUAAUUCUGCAGAGCUGGAGCCUGAGGUCGGUAAACCCAGGAAGAUGGCUGAAGACUAUGCUGAUUCAAGCCAAAGCAAGGAACCAGGUCUGCAGUGAGGCACUUCAGGUGAUUCUGAUGCAGGUCGUCCUUGACAAUGCUCUGGGAACUAUCAUCCAUGUGAAGAGAACUGCAUCCUGUCCAUCUUCAUCCCUGGCAAUGACUAGCCCCAUGCUGCCCUGCUUCACUGCAGAAUGCAGCCAGAAAGUGGUUGUAGGAUAUCUGCAGCUCCAUCUCAUUUCCUGAUUUCCAACAUCUUGAUUUUAUGGAAAAGUCGAAUCAUGAGAAAAACCAUUGGAAAAAUUCCAUUUGAGGGAUAUUCUACAAAUACCUGACUGGUACUGCUCAAAACUGGCAAGGUCAUCAAAAAUAAGGAAAGUCUGAGAAACUGUCCAAGCCAAGAAGAGCCUAAGGAGACAUGACAACUAAGUGUAAUAUGGUAUCUUGGAUGGGAUCCUGGAACAGAAAAAGGACAUUAGGUGGAAAUCAAGAUAUUUGAAGUAUAUAUCAAGAUACAAGUAAAUUUUCCGAGUGAGAAGAUAGCUCACAGAGUAUGAUUAUUGACCCUUUGAGAUGACCAAGGGUCAUCCACACAUCUUCUCUGGCAAAUGGAAAAUAUAAAUAUGCCAGCUUCCCAUUUUAUCCUUGAACCUCACCUUCUGAUAGAGGCUGGCACUAGGAUGAGUCUCAGGAAAGAGUUUUCUUCUCUAUGAUGUGGAACUCCAUCAUAUACUCUACUGACUGUAUCAAACCAAAGAAGGAGAAUCCAAGUAUAACAUGGAAUGGAUGUUAUAAUCAUGGUGAGAUAAUGGCCAAUUCAACACCUGGUCCUUGGAAUGAGAUAUAGAUCACACAAAACAAUCAUUGAAACUCUCUAGCAAGCUCAGGAAUGCACCAGAAUGCAUUAAGAUUUUCUAUGGUUAAACAUGAAAAAAUCAGUCUGCCUGAGAAAGAGGAUCUUGGAGAUAUAUGUCCAUUCCAACUUAACUGGAUCAAAUUUUCCAAGAAAACACAGGUUUUAACUUGUAAAAAAUCACGUAUGUGAAAUGUUCAUUUUUAGAGAAUAAUCACCAUUUCAGCUCAGACCUUUGUUCCUUGUCUCCAAUAUCCUGGAUCGCUAAACACCAUUUGAAGUCACAUUUUACUGAUCCCCAACUGAGGCCCACUUUAAUGCUUGGUGAAUUUCUUUGGACAUAUGUUUCUGGCUUGACUUUGGUACUUUCCUUCAGACUUCAAGUUUGAUAUUUUUAAUUUAGGUCUACAAGCCAUGACUGAAGGCACUUUGGAUUUUUACCUGUCUGUGUCACCUUUUUGCUUAAACUCUCAACAGCAUGAAUUAAUUAGAAGCUUUGAUAUACCAUUCAAAGAAAGGAUAAUACUGAACAUUCAAAGAAAGGAUAAUAUUGGGAAAGUACAAGCAAACUGUCAGACAUGAGAGCUAGAGCCAGUCCACUGGUAUCACUAGGUUCUCCCUCCCACGGACCCACUGCAACAACUUCAAUGCUAGUCUGACUCCAUGUCUGAGAAAAUAAAACUGAGAAAUCCCUAUGGAUUGGCUUUCUUAUAAAAAAAAUUAUAAAGCCUAUCCAAUUAAAAAGUACCUACGAUACACAAUUUCUAUGAAAAUAAGAAAGGCUGGCAUUUCUAGAAACUUCAUUACCAAAGGAAGUGUUGAGAGUGAUCUUAUUCAUUCCAUAGUACAUAGGAGGAUUUUUUUUCAAUUGUGCAUGUAAGGAUUAUUCCUGGUAAUGUUUGUUCAUCGUGCUCAGGUGUUUCUGACCAGAGCUUCCAUGUAUAGCUCUGGCAAAAGGAAUAGCCAGCGAGCGUGCUUUCACAUUCCAACUACUUGCCUAAAAAUAGUCCACCAACCAAAAUGUCAAGACUAUUUUGACAUCAAGCAUAUUUACAUAAAUGCAAAUACUACAGAAGCAUAUCAAGGAAGUAAAUAGCUAAAGUGUCAAGUAGGUCCCUGAAUACAUAUUAUAAUUCAGAGAAAAGAGGAAUGCAGGAGGCAGGAGUGUGUUGCAGGACAAAGUGGAGAGUAUAACAGUCAUAGUGGAAAAUAGAUUGAAAUAUGUAAGACACAAACUGAAGGGAAGUGCAUAUGGGAUAGGGUCAUAGGAAACCCUGGAAAAUAGUGGUACCAAUAUAGCAAAUUCUAUUUUUUCCUAAAAUUCAUGGUUACUUAGGUAAUUCUCUUAAGGGAGGAGAUAUUCUCCAUAGGUGGUAGAUUUUAAGUGGGAAGAUAUUAUGAAUUGAUUGAUAUUUCUUUUAUCUCCUUGAUUUUUAUCUCCCCUUCCCUUGCCCAAAUAACAUUGUCUCCAUUAUGGACUAUAUUUUCUAAUGACAGUGUAGCUCUAGUAAUACACUUUUUCUUAGGAAAUGCUCUUGUAUAAGAGAUGGGUCUGUCCACUAUUUCAGGUAUCAGCUUUAGUUCAGAAUUUUAUUUUGUUUCAAAGCUUUCAUAUGAGUGUGACUGAUGUUGUUUUAAACUCUUGUAGACAUAUUUUUCCUGUUUUUCUAAAAUUAUAGUUAAUUAACAUAUAAUAACUGCACAGAUUUUGGGGGCACACUAUGAUGCCUUUGUAUAUAUAAACAUUAUAUAUAAUCAAAUUGGGUAAUUCAUGUAUUUAUCACUGUAAACAUUACCAAUACUGAAUCAUGAAGAAAUAGAGAACCUGAACAGACCAAUAACUGGUAAUGAGAUCGAAUCAGUAGUUAAAAUUCUCCCAUCAGAGAAAAGCCCACAACCAGAUGACUUCAGUGCUGAGUUUUACCAAAUAUUUAAAGAAGAACUAGUACCAAUUCUUCUCAAACUAUUCAAAACAACUGAAGUAGUUGAAAUUUGUCCAAACUCAUUCUAUGAGGCCAUCAUUAACUUGAUACCAAAACCAGAGAAACACACACACACACACACACACACACACACACACACUAUAGAUCAAUAUUACUUCUAACUGCUCUUUAAACUUUACAAAGUUAGGAUCCAUGAAAGACUUUUGGAGGUGUUUUGUCACUUCCAGUGACAAAAAUCCCAGUUUUCUGUUGCUAAAAAUCUAGGAUCCAACCAAACUCACAAGAAAGAAAUCACUCUCCCUGGGAUUGAAUAUUUUAAAUAAAAGCUUUGUUAAAAGUCUUCUAUAUACAUACAUUGGGACUUUGUUUUUGCUAUAAGUCUCAGAGCCUGAUUUGACACUAGGAAGAGGCUUAUAUAGAAAUGUUAGGAUUAUGGUUUUUUAUUACUCACUUAAAAAGUAGAUGUCAUAAUGGAGAUUCCUGAUUAUCAGAUCAAGAAACUUGAAAAUUGUAGGACACAUGAGAGAUUCAGGAUUGAAAUAAUAUAACAGCAGAACUUACCAUUUAUACCAGACGACACCUCAGUCUAUAACUGAAGAUCUUGACUCCAUCUAGGAAUUUGAAUAAUUGGAUCUGAGCAUACUGAGAAUAUAAUGGAGGGAGCAAGGAGAUCAAAUUUUUUUUGCAAAUAUUCUGCAAUGUAUACCCUUUAAUUUAUUUAGAAAAAGUUGUUGAGUUGAUAGAAAUGGGUACAUAGUUUCAAAUAUAAGAGGGUAAGUGAUAUCUAACGUUUUUUUGUUAUCAUAUGUUAUUUGAGUUUGAGUUUGAUGAUGCUCUAUUAGAGUCUGAAACAUACAAUCUGUGUGUGGUUGGGUGUAUCUGUAUUCCCAGCUACUCAGGAGGUUGAGGCAGAAGGAUCACUUCAGUCCAAGAGUUUGAGGCCAGCCUGAACAACAUAGAAAGACCCACCUUAAAACAGAGAAACACCAAAAAAUUAAAUGAAUGUUCUUUCUAGUUAGUUUGCUGGGGUGCUAGAUUAAAUGUGAGGGGGUAAUAUCAUUAAUAUUUUAUAUUGAUGGUAUUAUAAUAUUUAACCUAUAUAACAGUGUUCAUUCUGAACAACAUAUAUUCUUCUUGGGUAAACUUUUUUUGGAAGGGAGGCAUAGUUAUAUGCUUAAAUGUGAAGAUAGGAACUAUUUCUGCCAUUUAGAGUACAUUAUCUACAGUAUAAUGAUGUUUUUGCAAUAUAUACCCUUUGCAUUAAGGUUUUAUACAAGCAGUAAAUUGUGAAGAGAUAUAUUUAUAGUGCCUAUUUCAGUAAUUUAUAGUAGAAAGCAUUUAAAUUUUUUAUUGAAUUAAUGAGUAGUCAAUUGAAUAGUUAGUUACCGGCUAUUUCCUCUUUGUGUACAUCCCUGGAAUGCCAAUUAGUACUGGCUCUAUUAGUGGUGGGUAUCUGGAAGAAGAUUUAGGUGUUCAGAAUAUGAACCUUAGAGCUAUAGGACAGAAGAUUUGGUGUUGGAAUACAAGCAAAUCUUAAAGAUAUCAUAGGUUCAGUUCCAGACCACCACAAUAAAAUGAAUAUUGCAGUAAAACAAGUCAUACAAUUUUUAGGAUAUAAUUUUUUUGUGCAUUUAAAAAUUAUGUUUACAUUAUGCUAUAGUUUAAGUGUGCAAUAAAAUUAGGUCUAAAACAAUGUACAUACUUUAAUUAAAAAUACUUUAUUGCUAAUGUGCUAACAAUCAUCUGAGCCUUCAGUGAGUCACAGCGUUCUUUAUUGAUGGAAGGUCUUGCCUUGAUGUUUAUGACUGCUGACUGGUUUCUGAGGUCUGGGGUGACUGUGGAAAUUUCUUAAAAUAAAAUAAUAAUAAAGUUUGACACAUCAAUUGACUCUUUCUUUUAUGAAAGAUUUCUUUGUAGCAUGCAAUGCUGUUUGAUAGUAUUUUACCCACAAGUAGAAUCUCUUUCAGAAUUGGAGUCAACUUGCUUAAAUCCUGAUGCUGUUUUAUCAACUGGAUUCAUGUAGCAUCUAAAUCCUUUGUUGUCAUUUGAAUAAAGUUCAAGGCAUCUUUACCAUGAAUAGUUUUUUUAAAAAUGUUUUUUAGUUAUCAAUGGCUCUUUAUUUAUUUUUAUAUGGUGCUGAGAAUCAAAUCCAGUGCCUCACACGUGCUAGGCAAGCACUCUGCCACUGAGCUACAACCCAUAGUUUUUUUCUCAAGACACCACUUUCUUUGUAAUUCCUUGUCCAUUCAAAUUUUAUGAGACUGCAGCAGGUCAGUCACAUCUUCAGGAUCCACUUCAAAUUCUAGUUCUCUUGCUAUUUCUGCUACAUCUGCAGUUGUUUGCUCCACUAAAGUCUUCAACUGCUCAAAGUCAUCCAUGAAGAUUGGAAUCAGCUUCUUCCAAAUUCCUGUUAAUGUUGAUAUUUUGACCUCCUCCUCCCAUGAAACAUGAAUGCUCCUAGCUAUAUCUGAAUCCUUCCCAGAAGGCAUUAGUUUCCUUUGUCCAGAUGGAUCAGGGGAAUCACUAUCUAUGGCAGGUAUGGCCUUAUGAAAUAUAAAUAAACCUUGAGAGAUUACUUGAUCCACAGACUGUAGAAUGGACAUUGUGUUAGCAGGCAUGAAAACAAUCUCCUUAGAUAUCUCCAUCAGAGCUCUUGGGUGAUUAGGUAAUUUUUAAUGAACAGUAAUCUUUUGAAAGGAAUCUUUUAAUGUAUGACUAUGUAACAACAAAUCCCAUCAAUAUGUACAACUAUAAUGCACCAAUUAAAAAAUGGGGGGAAAAAGAAAGGAAUCUGUUUUCCUGAGAAGUUCAUCUCAACAAUGAGCUUAAAAUAUUCAGUAAGCACAUGUGCUUUCAUCUGGGCUUUAUUGUUUCAUUUAUGGAGGAUAGACAGAAAUCUAGUAUAACUCUUGAAGGCCAUGGGAUUUUCAGAACAGUAAAUGAGCAUUGGCUUCAACUUAAAGUCAUCAGCUGCAUUAGCCCAUAAGAAGAGAGUCAGUCUGUGCUUUGAAACCAGGCAUUAACUUCUCCUGUCCAGCUAUGAGGAUUAUAGGUGGCAUCUUCUUUCAAUAUAAGGCUUUUUCUUUUUCAUUGAAAAAAAUGUUAUUUAGUGUAGUCACAUUCACAAAUUAUCUUAGCUAGAUCUUCUGAAUAGCUUGCUACAGCUUCUAUAUCCUGCUCCUUCCUCUUCCACUUUUAUGUUAUGGUGAUGGUUUCUUUCCUUAGAUCACAUGAACUAACCUCUGUUAAUUUUAACAUUUCUUUUUCAGCUUCUUCACCUCUCUAAGUCUUCAUAGAAUUUGAAGACAGUUAGAGCCUUGUUCUCUAUUAAGCUUUGGCUUAGGGAAAUAAUGUUCUAAUUAUUUGAUCUUCUACUCAAACCAGCAAAACUUUCUCUUUAUUGGAGAUAAGCCUAUUUUUUUAUGUGUCCACUGGAGUGGACUCCUAAUUUUCUGAAGAAGUUUUCCUUUUCAUUCACAACUUGGCUGUUUGGUGCAAGAGGGCUAGCUUUCAGCCUAUCUCAGUUUUCAACAUACCUUCCUCACUAAGCUUAAUUGGGUUUUAGCUUUUUGUUUAAAGUGAGAGAUAUUUAACUCUUACUUGAACACUUGGAGGCCACUUUAGGGUUAGUAAUUGGUCUUAUUUCAAUAUUCUUGUGUCUCAGGGAUUAAGGAUGCUGGAGGAAAGGGGAAAAGAUGGGGAGUGUUUAAUCAGUGGAGCAGUCAAAAUACAUACAACAUUAUUAAGUUCUCUAUCUUACAUAGGUACAGAUUGUGGUAGCCCAAAACAAUUAUUAUAGUGACAUCAAAUAUCACUUAGUGCAGAUCACCAUAAUGGAUAUAACAUUAAAAGUUUUAAAGUAUUGUGUUAAUUACUAAAAUGUGAUACAGAGACACAAAAUGAGCACAUGCUAUUGGAAAAAAAUGGUGUCAAUAGACCUGCUUGGUAUGAGAUUGCCAUAAACCUUGAAUUUAUAUUAAAAAACUACUUCAGUAUCUACAAAGUACAAUAAAGUGAAGCACAAUAGAAUGAAGCAUUUCUGUAGCAAAAAUUUGUGGUCAGAUUGUAAAGCUGCCUUAUUUCUGGAAGAUAACUCAAACUGAGCUGCUCAAGAGACAGAGAACAACUAGACAACUCUCUGAAGUGGACUGAGUGGAAGAAGUUGAUGGUGAUGUUGUAGAGGGUAUUUUAAACUUCUGACCUUCCAUUUCCUUGGGAAAUGACAUUUUCAAGGUACAUGACCACAGGAAUGGGUUCCCAGUGCCAUGAUUCAGUAUAAUACUUUUCCUAUGAUCAUAAUUGAUUGAAUCAGAGUAGAUCUCAGACUUCCCUCAGCUUUUCAGUUUCUUACCUGAGGAUUUAAAAUUGGGAUAUAUGGAGAAAACUUUUUCUGUCAUCAAGCUUAUUAUAUGUGCAGCAAAUACAACUCUUAACUUCACGAAUGGAUGUGAAAGAAAUGCCACAUUGUUAUAUUUUAGUUUAGUUAAAUCUGACUCUAAAUCUCUACUCUUUUGAUCUAGUGAGAAAUUAAAUCCAUGUCAUUUUUGUGGCCCUCUCCCAACCUCUAAGACACAGAAAGAUAUGAGAAGCUUCUAUGGUCCUUGAAUAAUUGAUAUGAAUGGAUAUAAACUUUCAUAUCCCAGAGAGUACAAAGGAAGAAUAUAAAGGACUUGGCUACAUUUUUUGAAUGACACAGGACAAACUAGAUGGAGAGGAAAUAGUCCCACAAGUUAUGACAAAUUUUACUGCUACUUAUUUAACUUUGGUGAUGUUGAGUGGACAUUUUAUGAAUACCCUUAGAGUAGUCUCCCCAAGUCUCUGAGAUUCUUCCUUUUUGGUUAUUAUACUGUUAUAAUCUAUAAAGCCAAGCCCAGAGCCAUAGAGAUGCCUCUAAAUAUUUGUCAUAGUUGUUUUUAUGUAUCAACUUGGGUAGGCUACAGUUUCUUCACUAUUCAAUCAAAUGCCAAUCAACAAGGUUCAGAUACAACUUACAGAAAGGGAAAAAUCCUUCUAUAUGUCUAAUACAGGAUUCAUAUCCAGAAUAUAUGAGGAAUUCUAAUAACUCAAUAGCAAAAGAAAGAACAAUUUUAAAAUGGGCCAUAAAUCCAAAUAGACAUUUCUCAAAAGAAGGCUUAAAAUGGCAAAUCAAUACAUGAAAAAAAUGCUUAAAAUCACUAAUCAUCAGAAAAGUGCAAAUCAAAGCCAGAAUAUCACUUCAUCCCAGUGAGAAUGGCUAUUCUCAAAACAAAGAUAACAAGUGCUGGUGAGGAUGUAGAGAAAAGGGAACACUUGUACACUGUUCAUGAGAGUAUAAAAUAGUAUAGCCAUUAUAGAAAACAGAAUGAAGGUUCCUUGAAAAAUUAAAAGCAGAUCUACCAUAUGAUCCAGAAAUCUCACUACAGGGUAUAUAUCCAAACGAAAUGAAAUCAGUAUGUUGGAAAGACCCCUGCAUGCCCAUGUUCACUGCAGCACUAUUCACAAUAGCCAAGGGAUGGAAACAACAUAGGCAUUCAUCAAUUGAUGAUUGGAUGAAGAAAAUGUGGUAUAUAUAUACAAUGAAUAUUAUUUAGUCAUAAAAAGAAUUAAAUCCUGUCAUUUGCAACAAUGUGGAUGGAAGUAGAGAUCAUUGUGUUAGUGAAAUAGGGCAAGCAUAGACAGACAAGUGCCUUAUGAUUUCACUGCUGUAGAAUCUUUUCAAAAGUUGAUCUCAUACAAGUUGAGAGCAAAAGGGCAUUGCCAGAGGCUGAGUAAAGUUGGGAAGCAUGGGGAAAGGUUUAUCAGUGGGUUCUAAGCUACAGGUAGAUAGGGGAAAGUUCUCAUGUGCUGUUGUAUAUUAGGUAGCUAUAGAUAACAAUAAUGUAUUAUAAUUUUUAAAGGUAUUUUGUUUAUUUUUAUGUGGUGCUGAGGAUCAAACCCAGGGCCUUGCAUGUGCUGAGCAAGUGCUCUACUGCUGAACCACA